rnacentral:lncRNA from 1 species
CAGAGUAAAUCUGGAUUUGGAAUAAAAUAAGAAUCUUACUAUUCUAGAGAUAAACCUUCUGCUCCACAGUUAAUUUAUUGUUUUCAGACUUGGUCACAUUUAGCUCUUGGUUGCCUAGGGCCUCCACUAGUCUGCAGAUAAAGAUCAACUCAGGAAACUGAGGCCCAGAGGUAAAACUUACGAUCCAUGAAUUUCUUGCUUUCCUGGGCAUUCGACAUUGAUCCAGCAGUACUCUUGCUUAUAAGUGAGCUCAAGACCAGUAAACAAAACUAAUACUUUUAAAGAGUUCGUGGCUGGGCAACAGUGGCUCACGCCUGCAAUCCCAACACUUUGGGAGGCUGAGGUGGGAGGAUCACUUGAGGUUAGGUGUUUGAGACCAGUCUGGUCAACAUGGUGAAACCCCGUCCCUACUAAAAAUACAAAAAUAAGCCAGGCAUGCUGGUGUGCACCUGUAGUCCCAGUUAUUUGGGAGGCUGAGGCAGGAGAAUCACUGGAACCAGGGAGGUGGAAGUUUCAGUGAGCCGAGAUUGUGCCACUGCAACUCCAGCCUGGUUGACAGAGCGAGACCAUGUCUCAAAAAAAAAAAAGAGGCCAGGCAUGGUGGCUCACGC